rnacentral:tRNA from 1 species
UCCGGGGUAGCUCAGCUGGCAGAGCAGCGGACUGUUAAUCCGUUUGUCGUGGGUUCGAUCCCCACCCCCGGAGCAA